CUGCCAUAUCAUGUUGAAACAUUGGUUCUUGUAUGUUCACCGAAGUUAAGCAACAUUGAGCCUGGUUAGUACCUAGAUAGGUGACCACUUGGGAAUACCAGUUGCUGUAAG